UACGACUACAUAUCAGGCAUAUCAAUAAGCGGAGGAAAAGAAACUAACAAGGAUUCCCUUAGUAACGGCGAGUGAAGCGGGAAGAGCUCAAAUUUGAAAUCUUCAAGGUUUACCUUGACGAAUUGUAGUUUAAAGAAGUGUUUUCUGUUGGAGUUUCGGUAAAAGUUCUUUGGAAUAGGACAUCAUAGAGGGUGAGAAUCUCGUAUUUGACCGUUACUUUCAGCUAGUGUGAUACACUUUCAAAGAGUCGGAUUGUUUGGGAAUGCAGUACCAAGAUGGGUGGUAAAUUUCAUCUAAAGCUAAAUAUUGGCGAGAGACCGAUAGCGAACAAGUACCGUGAGGGAAAGACGAUAAGAACUUUGAAAAGAGAGUUAAACAGUACGUGAAAUUGUCAAAAGGGAAGCGUUUGACACCAGUGUUGUUUUUCCGAAAAUCAAUUAAGAAGGGCUUGAUUUCGUGUUGUAUUGACCUUAUCAGCUUUCUUCACUCUUUUUCGAGUCUUUCUUAAUGCACUUUUCGGUUAACAAGUCAACAUCAAUUUCUUUUGUUGUAAAAGGGUAUUUGGAAGGUGGCUUUCUUUUCGGAGAAAGUGUUUAUAGCCUUAUACCUCUACAAUCGGAGAGAUUGAGGUCUGCAGCGUAGAUCCUUCGGGGCUAGAUACACUUGUGCUAAGUUAUAGCUUUUCAUAGACAACUUGUUGACUAUGUUUAGUCAUGUAGCUUACCCGCUUGUGCUAUUUUACCUACGCUUAGGAUGUUGAUCUACAGAGCGAGAGU
rnacentral:rRNA from 1 species